AACAGGAUUAGAUACCCUGUAGUCCCGCUUAAACGAUGUCGACUGAGGUUUUCCCUUGAGGAGUGGCUUCCGGAGCUAACGCGUUAAGUCGACCGCCUGGGGAGUACGGCCGCAAGGUUAAAACUCAAAUGAAUUGACGGGGGCCCGCACAAGCGGUGGAGCAUGUGGUUUAAUUCGAUGCAACGCGAAGAACCUUACCUACUCUUGACAUCCAGAGAACUUAGCAGAGAUGCUUUGGUGCCUUCGGGAACUCUGAGACAGGUGCUGCAUGGCUGUCGUCAGCUCGUGUUGUGAAAUGUUGGGUUAAGUCCCGCAACGAGCGCAACCCUUAUCCUUUGUUGCCAGCGAUUCGGUCGGGAACUCAAAGGAGACUGCCAGUGAUAAACUGGAGGAAGGUGGGGAUGACGUCAAGUCAUCAUGGCCCUUACGAGUAGGGCUACACACGUGCUACAAUGGCAUAUACAAAGAGAAGCGACCUCGCGAGAGCAAGCGGACCUCAUAAAGUAUGUCGUAGUCCGGAUCGGAGUCUGCAACUCGACUCCGUGAAGUGGAAUCGC
rnacentral:rRNA from 1 species